CCUACGGGAGGCAGCAGUGGGGAAUUUUGGACAAUGGGCGAAAGCCUGAUCCAGCAAUGCCGCGUGCAGGAAGAAGGCCUUCGGGUUGUAAACUGCUUUUGUACGGAACGAAACGGUCUGCUUUAAUACAGUGGGCUAAUGACGGUACCGUAAGAAUAAGCACCGGCUAACUACGUGCCAGCAGCCGCGGUAAUACGUAGGGUGCGAGCGUUAAUCGGAAUUACUGGGCGUAAAGCGUGCGCAGGCGGUUAUAUAAGACAGUUGUGAAAUCCCCGGGCUCAACCUGGGAAUUGCAUCUGUGACUGUAUAGCUAGAGUACGGUAGAGGGGGAUGGAAUUCCGCGUGUAGCAGUGAAAUGCGUAGAUAUGCGGAGGAACACCGAUGGCGAAGGCAAUCCCCUGGACCUGUACUGACGCUCAUGCACGAAAGCGUGGGGAGCAAACAGGAUUAGAUACCCUGGUAGUCCACGCCCUAAACGAUGUCAACUGGUUGUUGGGUGCAUUAGUACUCAGUAACGAAGCUAACGCGUGAAGUUGACCGCCUGGGGAGUACGGCGCAAGGUUGAAACUCAAAGGAAUUGACGGCUGAGACGAGCGACGACGACGACGAGGGAGGAGG
rnacentral:rRNA from 1 species